rnacentral:lncRNA from 1 species
GCCAUCUAGACCAACAUUGAUAGUAUAAUGCGAAAAGAGCAUCCUUUGGACAUAGAAGUUACUAAUUUGCGACAUAAUAAGUUUGACUUUUGGGUCUGCUAGCGCCUUAGGGCGACCUUUGCUGUUUCGGGACAAAAUUUCGAGUCUUUUCCACUCUGAUCACCAGCGAUUGCCUAGUGCCAUGUUUUUCAGCAGUAUUAGCUGUCGUAUGGCCAUUUUCAGUAAGCUACACAAUAAUAUUUACAUUUUCUAGAUAUUCUUC